rnacentral:tRNA from 1 species
GAAUCUGUAGCUUAAAGUAAAGUAUCGCCUUGUCACGGUGAUGGAUGCCCACUCGUACUGGGUCAGAUUCG